rnacentral:rRNA from 1 species
UACGAAGGGUGCAAGCGUUACUCGGAAUUACUGGGCGUAAAGCGUGCGUAGGCGGUUUGUUAAGUCCGUUGUGAAAGCCCUGGGCUCAACCUGGGAAUUGCAGUGGAUACUGGCGAGCUAGAGUGCGGUAGAGGAUGGUGGAAUUCCCGGUGUAGCGGUGAAAUGCGUAGAGAUCGGGAGGAACACGCGUGGCGAAGGCGGCCAUCUGGACCAGCACUGACGCUGAGGCACGAAAGCGUGGGGAGCAAACAGG